rnacentral:lncRNA from 13 species
UGUGCACGUUCAGUCCUCACUGUUCCCUCACACUCCACAUAUUCAGUCUAUGUGUGCACGCUCAGUCCUCACUGUUCCCUCACACUCUACAGAAUCAGCCUCUGUGUGCACGUUCAGUCCUCACUGUUCCCUCACACUCUACAGAAAUAAGCCUCUGUGUGCACGUUCAGUCCUCACUGUUCCCUCACACUCUACAGAUUCAGGCUCUGUGUGCACGUUCAGUCCUCAGUGUUCCCUCAGACUCUAUAGAAUCAGCCUCUGUGUGCAGAUUCAGUCCUCACUGUUCCCUCAAACUCUACAGAAUAAUCCUCUGUGUGCACGAUCAGUACUCAGUGUCAUCUCACACUCUAUAGAAUUAGCCUCUGUGUGCACGUUCAGACCUCACUGUUCGCUCAAACUCUACAGAAUCAGAGACUGUGCACGUUCAGUCCUCACUGUUCCCUCAAACUCUACAGAAUCAGAGACUGUGCACGUUCAGUCCUCACUGUUCACUCAGACUCUACAGAAUAAGCCUCUGCGUGCACGUUCAGUCCUCUGUUCCCUCACACACAAGAGAAUGAGACUCUGUGUGCAGGUUCAGUCCUCACUGUUCCCUCACCCUCUAAAAAAUAAGCCUCUGUGUGCAUGUGUAGUCCUCACUGUUCCCUCACACUCUACAGAAUCAGCCUGUGUGUGCAUGUUAAGUCCUGACUGUUCCCUGACACUCUACAAAAUAAGCCUCUGUGUACAGGUUCAGUCCUCACUGUUCCCUCACACUCCACAGAUUCAGCCUCUGUGUGCACGUUCAGUCCUCACUGUUCCCUCACAUUCUACAGAAUCAGCCUCUGUGUGCACAUUCAGUCCUCACUGUUCCCUCACACUCUACAGAAUCAGCCUCUGUGUGCAGGUUCAGUCUUCACUGUUCCCUCACACUCUACAGAAUCAGUCUCUGUGUGCAGGUUCAGUCUUCACUGUUCCCUCACACUCCACAGAUUCAGCCUCUGAGUGCUAG